rnacentral:rRNA from 1 species
AAAACGACUCUCGGCAACGGAUAUCUCGGCUCUCGCAUCGAUGAAGAACGUAGCGAAAUGCGAUACUUGGUGUGAAUUGCAGAAUCCCGUGAACCAUCGAGUCUUUGAACGCAAGUUGCGCUCGAAGCCAUUAGGCUGAGGGCACGUCUGCCUGGGCGUCAC